GUGGGAUGGUGGCUCAGUGGUAGAGUGCUUGCCUAGCAUGUGUGAGGCACUGGGUUCGUUUCUCAGCACCACA
rnacentral:tRNA from 1 species